UCUAGGCCGGUCUGGAAAGGCAGCACAGUUGGGCCCAAGUGGCCCAACUCCCUGGAGGAGAGGACGGGCUCUGAAGACUCUUCCGGCUGCCCCUGAAACCCUGAAACCGCUUAGUUGUUUUUCUGGUUGACUAGCUGCUGCACGCAACUGUCAGCUGCUUGUGAACUGUGUGACGCCAGUUCGCGCUCCUGUUUGUUUUCUAAAAGGCACUGCCCUGAUUUUUUUUUAACGACUAAAUAAUAAUAAUCAUUGCAGUCUCCCUCUCCUGAGGUGUUCCUUGAUGUCUCUAGGGUGCUAGGGCUGGGCCAGCAUCUUUUCCUGCAAUUUUUUUAUCCUCCCAUGGACAGCAGGGAGAACACAGGCUGCACCAGGCUGUUACACCAGGCCUCCCCGCUGGGAUAAAUGCAGCUUGUUUCAAAAGUGAAGGAAGGAAGGAGAGAGCGGAGAGGACAUCAAUCCCCUCCUUCCCAAAGGUUGCACCUACCAGCGACAGUGAGUUCCUGUUUUGAGGAGCAGGAGCUUGAAUAUUGUGAGCCUAAUGACAAAGUCAACAAUUGUUCAGAAGACCUGCAUUCACCAGAAAGAAUCUUUUUACCAAUAUUCAGAUGAUCAAAUUUUAAAAUUCAGCACGGACUGAGUUUUUAUACAUUCUGCACACUCCAAAACAGGGGAAGACCACCACAGCGUGCACAGGAGGAAAAAAGUCAGACUGUGCAAUCAUUAUGCAAUAAUGCAUUAAUAAUAUAUGGUUUAUUGAACCAAAAAAGACUUUGGCCAAACUCCCAGUCAUUUAACCCAUUGAGUGGUUUUAAGUUAUAUAGCCACCGAAGAAGAAAUUACCUGAGGAAGAAUAGAGUAAACCUACCAGGAACCUCCUCAGUUACCUAAAGCAAUGCCUCUAAGAAGCAUGGAGAAGAAGCUCAGUGUGGAAAUGGAGAAAACCAACUUGUUCAUCUAAAGCUGAGUCUCAGGGACUAUUUGGCACACAGCUAUGAACCUGGGGGACUGGAAAAGUCAGAAACUUAGCAGGUAAAGACAGCAUAGGUGCACAUUCUCUGGGCUCAUAAACUGGCCGAAGAAUAGACCAGCAGCACCUUAAAUCAUCUUCAUAGGGCUAACCUAUGGAGUAUAACAAGCAAAUAUGUGUUUAAAUGCAGCAUAUUUGCCAAAAUAAUAAACCUUUUAUUACAUUUCCUC